CUUGAGGACCCAGAACACGGAAUGUGAUUAAUGGUGAACACUUGUGAAGUUUUCAUACUGCAGCCAACCUCUGCCAUCUGUAAUCACAAGAUCUUCAGAUAGCUUCGGACUCAGUGGAUAUUUAAACAACAGACACAGGCCACGUGUAAGUGAUCAAUUGACAGCACAGACUAGGUCUUCACAGAGCUUUGGCCUCAGAGUGGAAGAAAUACUUUCCCAAUAGCACACAGAAAGUUAGUUAUAAGGCUAUGGGAGGAAAGAGACAGGACCAAACACACAGACAGCAGGUGCCACUGGGCCCAAAGCAGGCGUCCACCCCCUACCCCUUCACCCCACCCUCACCCCAUCCCCCACCCCCACCACAGCCGGUCUGAACAGUGGUUCGGAGGGGGCUCCUCUCUCAGCAGACAACUCAGUGUUGAGAACGACGUGAACAUCAAGAUAAACUAGCUUGAGAUCAUAUUAUACGCAACCCACAUCACCGCUCGAUAAACAUCUGAUGAAAAAUGAACCAGAAGGGGGGGCCCUGUUCAAAUGGAGCUUUGCCCCCGACCUAGCUCUGGAAGAAAUCAGUUCCAUGCACUGAUUUGUUUGGCAAUGUCUCCCCUUCUACUGACUCAGCUUCAGUGAGCUGUGGACUCUACAAACUGUGAGAUUGAAGAAGCAUUGCUCUCAUUGAAGAGUUAGUGAAGAUGUGGGUUCAUAGCUGUGUUCCUUUAUUGAGCUGUAACUGUCGUGAGGAGUGAAGGAGAGGAGGGGGAAGAGGGGGAAGAGGAGGAAGAGGGGGAGGAAGGACAUUGGUAGAAGGGGUGUAAUCAAUGGAGCUGCAGGGAAGGGCAUUGGAAGCUAAGGGAACCAUUGGCCCGGGGACCUGUGGGACCGUGUG
rnacentral:lncRNA from 1 species